rnacentral:lncRNA from 10 species
UCUAGCAUACGCACACUAUUUUAACACCAUUCCCUCUGUCUCAUCCUCUUCCCUGUACACGGUUCUGAUAGAUGGCUAGAUCUCUAAUGGGACCAUGGCUUUGGGCUCUCCCGGUUCUGCCACUGUGGUUCAUCGAGCAUAUCACUUCUCAACUCUGGAUCUGUGUCCAGAUCAGUAAAAUAAGAGACUUGGACUUAGUAGGUGACCUCU